ACCGGUUGGAACAUAGUCGGAAAU
rnacentral:siRNA from 1 species